AUUGAACGCUGGCGGCAGGCCUAACACAUGCAAGUCGAACGGUAACAGGAAGCAGCUUGCUGCUUCGCUGACGAGUGGCGGACGGGUGAGUAAUGUCUGGGAAACUGCCUGAUGGAGGGGGAUAACUACUGGAAACGGUAGCUAAUACCGCAUAACGUCGCAAGACCAAAGAGGGGGACCUUCGGGCCUCUUGCCAUCGGAUGUGCCCAGAUGGGAUUAGCUAGUAGGUGGGGUAACGGCUCACCUAGGCGACGAUCCCUAGCUGGUCUGAGAGGAUGACCAGCCAAACUGGAACUGAGACACGGUCCAGACUCCUACGGGAGGCAGCAGUGGGGAAUAUUGCACAAUGGGCGCAAGCCUGAUGCAGCCAUGCCGCGUGCAUGAAGAAGGCCUUCGGGUUGUAAAGUACUUUCAGCGGGGAGGAAGGGAGUAAAGUUAAUACCUUUGCUCAUUGACGUUACCCGCAGAAGAAGCACCGGCUAACUCCGUGCCAGCAGCCGCGGUAA
rnacentral:rRNA from 1 species